rnacentral:rRNA from 1 species
GACGAACGCUGGCGGCGUGCUUAACACAUGCAAGUCGAACGGAAAGGCCCUGCUUUUGUGGGGUGCUCGAGUGGCGAACGGGUGAGUAACACGUGAGUAACCUGCCCUUGACUUUGGGAUAACUUCAGGAAACUGGGGCUAAUACCGGAUAGGAGCUCCUGCUGCAUGGUGGGGGUUGGAAAGUUUCGGCGGUUGGGGAUGGACUCGCGGCUUAUCAGCUUGUUGGUGGGGUAGUGGCUUACCAAGGCUUUGACGGGUAGCCGGCCUGAGAGGGUGACCGGCCACAUUGGGACUGAGAUACGGCCCAGACUCCUACGGGAGGCAGCAGUGGGGAAUAUUGCACAAUGGGCGGAAGCCUGAUGCAGCAACGCCGCGUGCGGGAUGACGGCCUUCGGGUUGUAGACCGCUUUCGCCUGUGACGACGCGUGAGUGACGGUAAUGGGUAAAGAAGCACCGGCUAACUACGUG